GGAGGAGCCCGACAGCGGCGGCUGCAACACCCCCGAGCCCGAGGAGGGGGCUGAGGGCCGCGCCCCCCCCCGGCCGAAGGAGCCGCCAGGUGAGAGCGACUUUGAGACCAUCAAACUGAUCAGCAACGGAGCCUACGGGGUGGUGUACCUGGUGUGGCACAUGGCCAUGUGACAGGGC